rnacentral:ncRNA from 2 species
GUCUUCGAGGAGCGUUGCGACGGGUACCGCGAAUCUGCAUUCGCUGGCCGCCCGCCAGGCUCGGAGGCUUUCAAUCGGACGGCUUGAAUGCGCGCAGCGCUUUUCAAGGCGCCCCAUCGAACCGCGCUCACGUCAA